UACAGGGGGGGCAAGCGUUGUUCGGAAUUACUGGGCGUAAAGGGCUCGUAGGCGGCCAACUAAGUCACACGUGAAAUCCCCAGGCUUAACCUGGGAACUGCGUGUGAUACUGGAUGGCUUGAAUUCGGGAGAGGGAUGCAGAAUUCCAGGUGUAGAGGUGAAAUUCGUAGAUAUUCGCAAGAACACCAGUGGCGAAGGCGGCUCACUGGCCCGAUACUGACGCUGAGGCACGAAAGCGUGGGGAGCAAACAGG
rnacentral:rRNA from 1 species